rnacentral:lncRNA from 1 species
UUUGAUAAAAAGUUCAAUCAAUAUUUUGGCAUAAUGAUAUUGAAGAAAAUAAUAUCAUUUGAAAAAGAAAUAACAUCAUUUACCUCAAAAUAACCGUACUUCUGACUGUAUUUUCGGUAUAGUGCUGACAGAAACUCGCACCGUAUAGCAACACUCAAAGUAUACUCACAAGAAUACGCUCGAUAAUAUAGAGAGAGAAAGAGAGAAAACUUAGUUUCUGGUGUGAUUUUCAAUUCUAACUUAGCCCUCUAUUUAUAGGAAAAUGUUAGAACGCCAAAGGAGAC